rnacentral:sRNA from 1 species
UUGCAGGAGAAGGGAUUCUAGUUCUCUACAGUUGUCGUCUUUCUUGUGUGCUUGGGUGGAUGUAUACGCAGACACACACACUCACACACAUAUAAAGGGGAAGAACAAGGCAUCUCUUCUUGGGUUGCAGUAAAUUAUGCUCUUGGAAACUUGGGACGCGAGCCUCACGAAACAACUGGAAUAGUUGAACUUGGUGGGGGUUCUUUGCAGGUGUUUUCAUUCACUAUAUAUGAUCAUUUUGUUCGUAUACAAAUAAAUCCAUCUGCAUCAAAAAGUUAUUUCUUUAGUCUGCA